rnacentral:tmRNA from 1 species
GGGGCCGUAAUGGUUUCGACAGGUUGACGAAAGCUGUUCCGUGAUGCAGGUCGAGAGCGAGUCACCUCUCGUUAAUCCAGACUCAACCAAAAAAGUAACUGCGAACACCAUCGUUCCUUUUGCUCGCAAGGCAGCACUCGUUGCCUAAAAAAAACCUCUAACCUUUAGAGCGCGAGCGUCCGCAGUUUGACUCCGUUAAGGACUGUGGACCAACCCCUAACGGAUGCUCGCUCGAACCGCCUUGGCCGGCCGAGCGCUAAGACCUCGCCAAGGGUCCCCGCUAUCCGGGAUAAGUGAUAGACCCCGCUCCGAGGGUAAGACGAGCUAAACCUGUGAACGAUUGGAAGGUCAAUACUCAGUCUGGACAGCAGUUCGACUCUGCUCGGCUCCACUU